UCGGAAGGGCGCAUGGGGGAUGCCUGGGCUCUCGGAGGCGAGGAAGGACGUGACAAGCUGCGAAAAGCCGCGGGGAGGGCAAAUGCCCGUUGAUCCGCGGAUGUCCGAAUGGGGCAACCCGGCGGGAGCGAUCCCGCCAUCCGCGCGGAGCGCGGAGGCGAACGCGGGGAACUGAAACAUCUAAGUACCCGCAGGAAAAGAAAGUAACAACGAUACCCGAGUAGAGGCGAUCGAAAGGGGCACAGCCCAAACCGGCGGCGUCAUGAGGCGCGUGCCGGGGUUGUAGGGCCGCCCGGGAGGGCGCGGAGGCGCGAGGGGGACAGCCUGGAACGGCUGGCCGGAGAGGGUGAAAGCCCCGUACCCGAAGCGACGAGGCGUCCGGGCGGUUCCUGAGUAAGGCGGGACACGAGGAAUCCCGCCCGAAGCAGCGGGGACCAUCCCGCAAGGCUAAACACUACCGAGAGACCGAUAGCGCACAGUACCGUGAGGGAAAGGUGAAAAGCACCUCGGACAGAGGAGUGAAAGAGACCCUGAAACCAUGCGCCUGCAAGCGGUCGGAGCCGCGGAUGCGGUGACGGCGUGCCUUUUGCAUAAUGAACCUGCGAGUUGCCGUCGCCGGCGAGGCUAAGGGCCUGAGGUCCGGAGCCGGAGCGAAAGCGAGUCCGAAGAGGGCGUUCAGUCGGCGGUGGCAGACGCGAAACCGAGUGAUCUACGCAUGGGCAGGAUGAAGGACGGGUAACGCCGUCUGGAGGUCCGAACCGGUAGGCGUUGAAAAGCCUUCGGAUGACCUGUGCGUAGGAGUGAAAGGCCAAUCAAACUCGGAGAUAGCUCGUACUCCCCGAAAUGCAUUUAGGUGCAGCCUCGGGACGAGUCCUGCGGAGGUAGAGCGACCGAUAGGGUGCGAGGGCUUCGCCGCCUAUCAAGCCCUGACGAACUCCGAAUGCCGCAGGACGCUUCCCGGGAGUGAGGGCGCGGGUGCUAAGGUCCGCGUCCGAGAGAGGAACAACUCAGACCACCGUCCAAGGCCCCGAAAUCCGGGCCGAGUUGAAGACAAUAACGGGUGGGGCCGCAGAGACAGCUAGGAUGUUGGCUUGGAAGCAGCCAUUCAUUUGAAGAGUGCGUAACAGCUCACUAGUCGAGCGGCCCCGCAUGGAUAAUAAUCGGGCAUAAGUCCGGUGCCGAAGACGUGGGGCGUGCCUUUGCGGCACGCCGGUAGGGAGCAUUCCGCGUGCGGCGAAUCGCGGCCGCGAGGGCGCGUGGAGCGCGCGGAAAAGCAAAUGCAGGUAUAAGUAACGACAAAGGGGGCGUGAAACCCCCUCGCCGAAAGACCAAGGGUUCCUGGGCAACGCUAAUCGGCCCAGGGUGAGCCGGGACCUAACGCAGGCCGGGGACGGCCGAGCGGAUGGACAUGCGGUCAAGAUUCCGCAGCCCCGUCGCGGGGAGUCCCAGCGGUGACGGAGGAGCGAAACGCCCGCGCGCAGACGGAACUGCGCGUUGAAGGGAGGUAGCCAGAGGGGGCGGCGGAAACGCCCCCGGCGAGACCCGACAGUACGCGAAGCGCAAGCGCGGAGCGACAGCGGCGGAGGAGCAGACUCCCGAGAAAAACCGCGCGGGACGCCCGACCCGGGACGGGCCCGUACCGGAAACCGACACAGGUGGUCGGGUAGAACAUACCGAGGCGCUCGAGAGACUCACGGCCAAGGAACUAGGCAAACUGGCCCCGUAACUUAGGGAGAAGGGGCCCUCCCCGGGAAAGCAGGGGGAGGCGCAGAGAAUAGGUCCAGGCAACUGUUUAGCAAAAACACAGGGCUGUGCGAAGCCGCAAGGCGCAGCAUACAGCCUGACACCUGCCCGGUGCCGGAAGGUUAAGCGGAGCCGUCAGCAUCAGCGAAGCGGCGAAGUGAAGCCCCGGUAAACGGCGGCCGUAACUAUAACGGUCCUAAGGUAGCGAAAUUCCUUGUCGGGUAAGUUCCGACCUGCACGAAUGGUGUAAUGAUCCGGACGCUGUCUCAGCCGUGAGCUCGGUGAAAUUGUAGUAUCGGUGAAGAUGCCGAUUACCCGCAACGGGACGAAAAGACCCCGUGAACCUUUACUGCAGCUUAGCACUGUGGCCGGGUGCGCGGUGCGUAGGAUAGCCAGGAGGCAACGAACCCGGGGUUCCGGCCCCGGGGGAGCCGCCGUUGAAAUACUGGCCUCCGCGCAUCUGGCCUCUAACGCGCCGUGAGCGCGGACACUGCUUGGCGGGUAGUUUGACUGGGGUGGUCGCCUCCAAAAGCGUAACGGAGGCUCCCAAAGGUGCCCUCAGGCCGAUUGGCAACCGGCCGCAGAGUGCAAUGGCAUAAGGGCGCUCGACUGCGAGGCCGACAAGCCGAACAGGAAGGAAACUUGGGCAUAGUGAUCCGGCGGUACCGCAUGGAAGGGCCGUCGCUCAAAGGAUAAAAGGUACUCCGGGAUAACAGGCUGAUCCCUCCCAAGAGCUCAUAUCGACGGAGUGGUUUGGCACCUCGAUGUCGGCUCGUCACAUCCCGGGGCUGGAGAAGGUCCCAAGGGUUGGGCUGUUCGCCCAUUAAAGUGGCACGCGAGCUGGGUUCAGAACGUCGUGAGACAGUUCGGUCUCUAUCUGUUGUGGGCGUCGAGACUUGAGGGGAACCGGCACCAGUACGAGAGGACCGUGCCGGACGGACCUCCGGUGAACCGGUUGUGGCGCCAGCCGCACCGCCGGGUAGCCGCGUCCGGGCAGGAUAAGUGCUGAAGGCAUCUAAGCACGAAGCCGGCCCGAGAUAAGGUCUCAUCCAAGGGCCGUCGCAGACUACGACGUCGAUAGGCCGCAGGUGCAAGCGUGGCGACACGCUCAGCCGAGCGGUACUAAUAGCCCGGAGACUCCGGAAA
rnacentral:rRNA from 1 species